AAAACAGUGUCUUCAAUGUGGGACAGGACUCAACACUCAAGUUACCCUUUAACUUAAGGAUUGGGUCUUGGAAUUCAUGUAUUGAGAUAUC
ensembl:miRNA Mir6237 microRNA 6237